rnacentral:rRNA from 1 species
CCUACGGGUGGCUGCAGUGGGGAAUAUUGCACAAUGGGCGCAAGCCUGAUGCAGCCAUGCCGCGUGUGUGAAGAAGGCCUUCGGGUUGUAAAGCACUUUCAGCGGGGAGGAAGGCGUUGAGGUUAAUAACCUCAUCGAUUGACGUUACCCGCAGAAGAAGCACCGGCUAACUCCGUGCCAGCAGCCGCGGUAAUACGGAGGGUGCAAGCGUUAAUCGGAAUUACUGGGCGUAAAGCGCACGCAGGCGGUCUGUCAAGUCGGAUGUGAAAUCCCCGGGCUCAACCUGGGAACUGCAUUCGAAACUGGGAGGCUAGAGUCUUGUAGAGGGGGGUAGAAUUCCAGGUGUAGCGGUGAAAUGCGUAGAGAUCUGGAGGAAUACCGGUGGCGAAGGCGGCCCCCUGGACAAAGACUGACGCUCAGGUGCGAAAGCGUGGGGAGCAAACAGGAUUAGAUACCCGGGUAGUC